rnacentral:lncRNA from 1 species
GUGAUUUAACCCUAAUACCUGACUGGUAGAAUUCAUACAUAAGGUGCAGUAGAUUACAAGGCACACUGAUGAUUUUGGCAAGAUUAAAGGGUUUUGGAUGCGCCCUAAAGUUCGAAAAAUGGAUGUUGUAGAAUGCUGUAAUAACAAUAAGGUUUGUUGCCCGAGGGCAACAUUAUACCAUAGAUGGUUAAUACUCUCUUUCUCUUCUCUCUCUCAGCCAGCUUCUGCUCCAGUGUAUGAAACCGUCUCAGACCUGGCUAUGACCUCCAGGCCCUGCACAGGAGCUGCAUCCUCAGAUGAAGUUCAGUACUCAACCAUUCAAAACCAUUCAAAGCCUCUCUGCCCCACUGUUCAUCAGACACGCGCUUUUAAUAAAGAAGAGGAAGUUGAGUACGCCACAGUGAACACAGCUAGAGCAGGAAGUGUUGGGUAUGAAGAAUCCCCAGUCUACAGCAUGGUCCAGAACUCUGCCUAAGAUUAACAUUUUCCACCAUCAACAUACAGCCUCUCCAAACAGAUGCAGUUUAUUAGAGUGAAGAGCAAAUACACAGAUCCAUAUUAAAACAGCACUUCACUUUAAAACUAUAUAAAAAUAUUCAGAGGAAAACAUCCAUCGUUUACAUCCUGUGUUUUUUAUUUUACACUGGUACUGGUAUUAUGUUACAGAUUUUGUUUGAUAAUUUACCUUCUGAGUGGUAACCCACAAUUGAGAUUAGAGAUGCUAGUGAGAUUAGAUUAGCUAGUAGUGCAGAAUAGGGUAAAAAAUAUGAAUAGUAUAAUGAGGCAUCUCGGAGGGUGUGACCAUGGAGGGAUUUUUUUAUUUUUUUAUUUUACAGAUUAUGUUUUAAUGGCCAGUCAGUAACCGAGUUCCAGUCCAAUUCAAGCUUUAGCAAACAAACCUAUAUUUAGAGCUCUUCUCUAGCAAUCGAGAGUAUUAUUAGAGAAGUGUGAAUCUACCCUGGCUAUUAAAACCUGCUGAAAUUACAACAAAGAUAGCCCAUAAGUGUGUUAAAGGUUAUGGAGCUUAAAAACUAGCCUAAGUAUUUAAAUCUGUAUUGUGUAUUGUUGAAUUAAAUAGAUCUAACUUUUUGUAAACUUCAAAAAAUUGUGUUUUUUGCUUGUGAGGUAGUGAAAUUUGCUGUUGAAUAAAAUGCUUUUUAAAAUAUUUUCA